GACGAACGCUGGCGGCGUGCCUAACACAUGCAAGUCGAGCGGGGAACGGAUGGUAGCUUGCUACUGUUUGUUUCUAGCGGCGGACGGGUGAGUAACGCGUGAGCAACCUGCCUUUAUCAGGGGGAUAACGCAUCGAAAGAUGUGCUAAUACCGCGUAAGACCACGGCUUCACAUGGAGCGGGGGUCAAAGGAGCAAUCCGGAUAAAGAUGGGCUCGCGUCCGAUUAGCUAGUUGGUGAGAUAACAGCCCACCAAGGCGACGAUCGGUAGCCGACCUGAGAGGGUGAUCGGCCACAUUGGAACUGAGAGACGGUCCAGACUCCUACGGGAGGCAGCAGUGGGGAAUAUUGGGCAAUGGGCGAAAGCCUGACCCAGCAACGCCGCGUGAGGGAAGAAGGGUUUCGGCUCGUAAACCUCUGUCCUAUGGGACGAAG
rnacentral:rRNA from 1 species